AGUAUUGAGGGGAAGAAAGUGUCAAGGAAAGUCUAUACUAUUUUCAGCUCAUGAAGAGAAGAGAUCUAGGCUCUGCUAGAAUUCAGAUGCUUCUGUGCUCAAGUUAAAAGACUUUUUUUUUGUCAAGUCUGCAAGUGUGAGGAUUUUCUCUGGUCUUACACCUACAGGGGGUACGUACUGAGGAAAUGAGCAAAAGCAAGUCACAGAGCAAUUGCACAGCUAAGACAGGCGCUGACCCAGCGCGCUCUUCCAUGUGAGGUGCUGCUCUAGGGCUCUGAUGCCAAAGACAUGAAGGAGAGGAUGCUAGAUGAGUUUGUCUCCUCCCUGUUGCCAAGGCUUGGGCUAAUAAGUGCAAAUAUAGGACAGAUUUGAGGUCAGAGAAUGAAAGGUUAUUCUGCAGCAGAAACCAAUGUAGCUUCAACGAUUUACCUGUUUAUAACCCUGGCAUAUCAGUCAAGAGCAUUUUGAAUGUGUCCUAUCAGAGUCUCUCUAACCGUGUCUCCAGGUGUUAUGGAGAGGCACAGGUCCAGCAUCAGGCUCUGGCUCUGCAUGAUGCUGCGGUCACUCGGCUGGGCGUAGAGGAUGGCCACCUCCUUCUCAUUCUUCAUCAGGUGCAGUGUGAUCUAACUCAAGCUUCCAGUGGUUCAGAUUUCUCAUGGAUUAAAGCGUUUUUCCACUGCCCACUUACAGCCUGUGUGCCAUGUCACCCCUUGACCUCUCAGAUAAAUGAAUCGG